rnacentral:tRNA from 1 species
GAGGGGGUAGCUCAGUAGUAGAGCGCCUGCUUAGCAUGCAUGAGGUCCUGGGGUCAAUCCCCAGUCCCUGCA